CCUACGGGAGGCAGCAGUGGGGAAUAUUGCACAAUGGGGGAAACCCUGAUGCAGCAACGCAGCGUGAGUGAAGAAGUAUUUCGGUAUGUAAAGCUCUAUUAGCAGGGAAGAAGAUGACGGUACCUGAAUAAGUAGCCACGGCUAAUUACGUGCCAGCAGCCGCGGUAAUACGUAGGGGGAAAGCGGUCUCCGGAUUUACUGGGUGGAAAGGGAGCGCAGACGGCAGUGCAAGACUGGAGUGAAAGCCCGGGGUCCAACCCCGGGACAGCUCUGGAAACUGGGCGGCUAGAGUACUGGAGAGGCAAGCGGAAUUCCAAGUGUAGCGGUGAAAUGCGUAGAUAUUAGGAGGAACACCAGUGGCGAAGGCAGCCUACUGG
rnacentral:rRNA from 1 species